CAGCAGCCGCGGGAAUACGAAGGGGGCUAGCGUUGUUCGGAAUUACUGGGCGUAAAGCGCACGUAGGCGGACAUUUAAGUCAGGGGUGAAAUCCCGGGGCUCAACCCCGGAACUGCCUUUGAUACUGGGUGUCUAGAGUAUGGAAGAGGUGAGUGGAAUUCCGAGUGUAGAGGUGAAAUUCGUAGAUAUUCGGAGGAACACCAGUGGCGAAGGCGGCUCACUGGUCCAUUACUGACGCUGAGGUGCGAAAGCGUGGGGAGCAAACAGGAUUAGAUACCCCCGUAGUCCCUGUCUCUUAUCC
rnacentral:rRNA from 1 species